GACGAACGCUGGCGGCGUGCCUAAUACAUGCAAGUCGAGCGCUGAAGGUUGGUGCUUGUACCGACUGGAUGAGCAGCGAACGGGUGAGUAACGCGUGGGGAAUCUGCCUUUGAGCGGGGGACAACAUCUGGAAACGAAUGCUAAUACCGCAUAAAAACUUUAAACACAAGUUUUAAGUUUGAAAGAUGCAAUUGCAUCACUCAAAGAUGAUCCCGCGUUGAUUUAGCUAGUUGGUGAGGUAAAGGCUCACCAAGGCAAUGAUACGUAGCCGACCGGAGAGGGGGAUCGCCCCCUCUGGACUGGGACCCGGCCCCAGACUCCUCCGGGAGGCGGCGGAGGGGAACCUCGGGAAUUGGCGGAAAUCUGGACGGGGCACGCCGGGGUGGGUGAGAAAGUUGUCGGAUCGUAAAACUCCGGUUGUAGGGAAGAAAGUUAGUGGGAGUGGAAAGCGCAUGAAGUGACGGUAACUACCCAGAAAGGGACGGCUAACUACGUG
rnacentral:rRNA from 1 species